AUAUGGCACCACCAUAUUCCGCAGCGCUUUAUAGAUUUAGAGGGUUCGUGUACAAAACAAAAGACAUCACAAGGUAACAUGCUAAUAUGCAACUUAAACUCUAUGAGGGCCCGGCUCGCAAGAGUUUAUAAUCUAUUAUGAAGCUUAAAGUUGUAGUUUGG